UACAGAGGGUGCGAGCGUUAAUCGGAAUUACUGGGCGUAAAGCGCGUGUAGGCGGCUUUGCAAGUCGGGUGUGAAAGCCCUCAGCUCAACUGAGGAAGUGCGCCCGAAACUGCAGAGCUUGAGUGCCGGAGAGGGUGGCGGAAUUCCCCAAGUAGAGGUGAAAUUCGUAGAUAUGGGGAGGAACACCGGUGGCGAAGGCGGCCACCUGGACGGUAACUGACGCUGAGACGCGAAAGCGUGGGGAGCAAACAGG
rnacentral:rRNA from 1 species